AUUUGGCUCAGAAGAACCCCAAGGUUGUAGCCUUUCUUCAGGACAAGCACUUGGAGCACAACCUUAAGGAGACUCACUUGACCCUUGCCCACAAGAGAAGUCAUGGCGUUACAGCGGUAGCAAGUUAUGGACUGUUUCUCAAUCAGAAGGUUCCAGUAGAAUUGACUGCACUUCUCUUCACAGAUAAAAUGGCUGCCCUAGAAGCACAACCAGGUUCUGUUGAUGGCGAAAAAGUAGUUUCAAAAAAUGAGUGGCCGCAUGUUACCAUAUGGACCGCAGAGGGAGUAGCACCCAAGGAAGCCAACACACUGCCUCAAUGGUUCUCAGAGGGGAAAGCAACUCGUGUUGAAUUCAGUCCGC
rnacentral:misc_RNA from 1 species